AGUGAACGCUGGCGGUAGGCCUAACACAUGCAAGUCGAACGGCAGCACAGUGAGAGCUUGCUCUUACGGGUGGCGAGUGGCGGACGGGUGAGGAAUACAUCGGAAUCUACUUUUUCGUGGGGGAUAACGUAGGGAAACUUACGCUAAUACCGCAUACGACCUACGGGUGAAAGCAGGGGAUCUUCGGACCUUGCGCGAUUGAAUGAGCCGAUGUCGGAUUAGCUAGUUGGCGGGGUAAGGGCCCACCAAGGCGACGAUCCGUAGCUGGUCUGAGAGGAUGAUCAGCCACACUGGAACUGAGACACGGUCCAGACUCCUACGGGAGGCAGCAGUGGGGAAUAUUGGACAAUGGGCGCAAGCCUGAUCCAGCCAUACCGCGUGGGUGAAGAAGGCCUUCGGGUUGUAAAGCCCUUUUGUUGGGAAAGAAAAGCAGCAGGUUAAUACCCCGCUGUUCUGACGGUACCCAAAGAAUAAGCACCGGCUAACUUCGUG
rnacentral:rRNA from 1 species